UGGGGGAAGCGGAUCGCGUUGGCCUGGUGGGCGCCUGUGUGUUCAGCCUUCGGGUGCAUUGGCACAGGUGCUUAUCCGCUGUGGGUUUUCGGGGGUCGAUUUUGGAUCCCUGGAGGCUGAGGGCUCCCUUCGGGUGAGGACAGCGGAGUGACGACGCGAUACGACCCGUCUUGAAACACGGACCAAGGAGUCUAGCGCGGGUGCGAGUCGGAGGGUGCAAGCCCGUGGGCGAAGUGAAAGCGAGUGUAAAAACGAGCAGUUUGGGGCGGCAUAAGAUCGUUGAUCUCAAGACCGACCCAGAGCAGUUGCGCUGGGACCCGAAAGAUGGUGAACUAUGCCGGAGUAGGGCAAAGCCAGAGGAAACUCUGGUGGAGGCUCGUAGCGGUGCUGACGUGCAAAUCGCUCGUCCAACUUGGGUAUAGGGGCGAAAGACUAAUCGAACCAUCUAGUAGCUGGUUCCCUCCGAAGUUUCUCUCAGGAUAGCGGGCCGACAAGUUGUUUUGUGCGGUAAAGCGAAUGAUUAGCGCACGUGGGGCCAUUUCGGCUUCAGGCGAUUCUCAAACUUUAAAUGCGCAAGGGUGUCGCUGCUUAAUUGAGCGGCACCGCUAAAAACGUCGGCCCUGUGGGCCACUUUUGGUAAGCAGAACUGGCGAUACGGGAUGAACCGUAAGCAUGGUUAAGGCGCCAAACUGCCCGCUUAUA
rnacentral:rRNA from 1 species